GAUGAACGCUAGCUACAGGCUUAACACAUGCAAGUCGAGGGGCAGCAUGGUCUUAGCUUGCUAAGGCCGAUGGCGACCGGCGCACGGGUGAGUAACACGUAUCCAACCUGCCGUCUACUCUUGGACAGCCUUCUGAAAAGGAAGAUUAAUACAAGAUGGCAUCAUGAGUCCGCAUGUUCACAUGAUUAAAGGUAUUCCGGUAGACGAUGGGGAUGCGUUCCAUUAGAUAGUAGGCGGGUAACGGCCCACCUAGUCUUCGAUGGAUAGGGGUUCUGAGAGGAAGGUCCCCCCACAUUGGAACUGAGACACGGUCCAAACUCCUACGGGAGGCAGCAGUGAGGAAUAUUGGUCAAUGGGCGAGAGCCUGAACCAGCCAAGUAGCGUGAAGGAUGACUGCCCUAUGGUUGUAAACUUCUUUAUAAGGGAUAAAGUGAGUCUCGUGAGACUUUUUGCAUGUACCUUAUGAAUAAGG
rnacentral:rRNA from 1 species